UCAAUUUGUUCUUUAAAAACCUAUGGAAGACAAUAGUGGGCCAAUGGGGGAAAAUGUGGGAAAGCUUGCAUUUAUUAAAAUUCGACAUUUCUGGAAGUUUUUCAACAGUGGAGAGUUUGUGACAUUAUUCAUUUGGAUCUCGUGAAAAUAGGUAAUAACGAUAGUUAUCUUUUAUUAUGAAGAUUAUUUACUUUUGAUAAAAGAAGUGUAUAAUCUUCAUCAUCAUCAUCAUUUUCAUAUUGCUAUUCAUUGGCGCACAAGAAUGGCUUGCUAGAUCUUGGCAAGAAAUUUGGCAAACUUCUUCAUGACAUCUCUGUGGUCCUGCAAUUUGGCUAAACCACAUCACUUUAUCUGAAGUAAGUCUAGGGGCUUUACCAGACUGUGAACUAAGAGCGACAUAGUUGUUGGAAAAUAUAAUUAAAUUGAUAUAUAAGGGAAUAGUGGUUAUGGUAUAAAUGAAGAAGGAUGUGUUCCCACUUUUACAGCUGUGUUAGGGCCUCGUUACCCCGAUUUAAAAAUGCCCCCUUUUUGUGUUUGUCCAUGAACUAGCCUGUCAUGGAUGUGAAUGUGUAAGCAGACUUUGGAGGCUCUUACUGACUGCUGAAGGGAGGCUAGAUGAGGCCACUGAGUGAUUUGGUAGAAACAACAUAAUGAGCUACCAGGCUCUAAGAACAGCGGCUUCCUGAGACUGACUGGGAAACUGUUUUGAUUGACGGGUCUCACCAGCACACCAGACUGUGCAGGCAGAUAAGAAGCCCACUGGGAGAAGAUAUCAGGGAAGGUAAGGAUGCCAUGAUCCCUUUAUAUGAGAGAGCUGGGGAACUGGCUCUGGGAAGGGGAAACUGCAGAGCAGCAAAAUGAUCUUGAUCACUAGUGACAUUUAAUUGCAAUUAGGUUUUUAACAACAGCAAAAAAAGAUUGUAAAACUCUUCGGUUUCUUUCACAUCAAACGGCCCAUGCUUGGAAUAUUGUCGUGUGCAUUCUUCCUGCAACACCAUCAAAAACAGGUUCACUGUAUUUGCAACAUACUGAGAAGAGUUAAUGGCCAGUGCAGGGUUCUCCUGGCUUCAGAGUUCAAAGUUAUCUGCUCCCAGAUGCAGCCACACAAAUUAUUCCCUGAGAGUAAUCUUCAGUGAGUUGCUAGGAGAUGACCGGUUUAUGUUUUCCUUUGAUUAUAGGGCAUAACCGCCCCACUGUCAAAAUGCCAAAAGUUAAAAAAAAAAAAAAAAAAAAGGCAGUGAUUGCUUAAGAAUAA